rnacentral:lncRNA from 1 species
UUAAAAUUCAUUUUCUUUUUUCUGAAACAACCAUGGCAUCUCCAGACUUUACCCUUUUUACAUUUAUCAGUGUGUCUCUCCCCAGGCAUUUGUGGAGAAGUUACAGAGGCCAUCCUCGUUACUUACAAAGUGAAUCCUUGAAAUAUUUUUCCCAGCAGAAAUAACCAGAUACAGAUUCUCUACCUCUGAGCAAAAGCUUCAAGCCAAACUCUCAAACUCGCUCAUUUGAUCACUUGAGGCCAGGAGUUCGAGACCAACCUGUGCAGUGUGGUGAGACUCUGUUUCAACAACAACAGAAAAUAGCCAGGCAUGAUGGCGCAUGCCUAUAGGCCUAGCUUACAAAUAUUUUUUCCCAUUCUUUGGGUACUAUUGACAGUGUUUUUCCCUUCCUUCCUUCCUUCCUUNNNNNNNNNCCCUUCCUUCCUUCCUUCCUUCCUUUCCUUCCUUCCUUCCUUUUUUUCUUCCUUCCUUCCUUUUCCUUCUUUCCUUCCUUUUUUUCCUUCCUUCCUUCCUUCCUUUUUUCUUCCUUUUUUCCUUCCUUCCUUCCUUAUUUUUUUCCCUUUUGUCCCUUCCUUCCUUCCUUCCUUCCUUCCUUCCUUCCUUCCUUCUUUCUUUCCUUCCUCCCUUCCACCCUUCUUCCCUUCCUCCUGCCCUCCCCACUUGCCUCCCUCUCCCCUAUCCCCCAAGACAGGGUCUCUCUCUAUCACCCAGGCUGGAGUGCAGUGGCACGGUCAUAGUUCACUGCAACCUCACAC